AGAAAGUAACUCCAACCUGAGAAAACCCACAGAGGCCACACCUCUAGGAGGCGAAACGCGUCUUUCAAAGGUGGUACCUCCACCUAGACAAAGAGUUUCCAUUGGUUGGAGGUGAAUUGCUUAAAAAAAGAGAGAGAGAGAAAGAAAGAGAAACAAAAGCCCCGAGCUUUGGAAUUUCCUUCUCCUGUUCAACCUGAAACACUCUUGAAGCUGGAAUGAUGGCUCAGCAGUUAAGAGCAUGGACUGCUGGUCCAGAAGACCUGGGUUCAAUUCCCAACACCUACAUGGUGGUCCAAAACCAUUCAUAACUCCAGUUCCAGGGAACACCUCUUCUGGCUUCAGUGGGCAUCGGUCAUUUCCAUGGUUCAGUGCAUACACGCAGACGGUGGAGACUGAACCCAGCGCCUCACCCAUGCUAGUAAGUGCUUUACCGGUGAGCUGCAGCCCCAGUUCGUUUGAAGGCAAGACGGGACAUCAAGUGGCUUGACUUUUGUACCCCACUUUCUUUGGCCAUCAAAUACAGGCUGUUCUGAGCAGCGAGUGACCUUGGCAGCAGCCUCAGUGCACUUAGUAAACGUGACAUUGCUAAGAGCCCUGACCAUGUGUGGGUGGCAAGUCCUCCCGUAAAAACUGACUGAUGAUCAUGCCACCAUCUGCACUGAGAGAGAAGCUCCUUGGGGUCCUGCCGGAUCUUCCUGAGGGAAAGAAAGGAUUGUGGGAGGGCCCAGCCACAGCCCACAAUAAGCAGCCUCAGCAGCAGCCUGUCCUCUCCCUCCUCUCAUUUCCCCUCUCACCACUUCUUCAUGACUCCCAGGGUGGCCCAGUGCAGACCCUCAUGCUGUCAGACUGCCUCAGCACCUGCCUCCCAUUCCCUUCAUGACAUGACUAUUUACAAUCACCAACUAUCAACACAGGGACUCCAAAGGCACCCAAGUCCCGCCCCCCACAUUGCUCCUCCUCCCUGGUGUGUCUCAGAGGCUGUAUCCCCACUUAGAACCAGAGCCAAAGAUGCCUGGUAAGAUGGGGUGUCAAGGGCUGGAGAGAUGGCUCAGUGGUUAAGAGCACUGACUGCUCUUCCAGAGGUCCUGAGUUCAAAUCCCAGCAACCACAUGG
ensembl:lncRNA